GCCCCUUGCAAGGUGGUGGCAGCGGAAACGCCCACACGGUUACUACACGCCGAGGACACCUAAACAAGGGGCUC
ncrna:unclassified sequences c4-2 RNA